CAGCCGCCACGGUAAUACGAAGGGGGCUAGCGUUGCUCGGAAUGACUGGGCGUAAAGGGCGCGUAGGCGGCGGCCAAAGUCAGGCGUGAAAUUCCCGGGCUCAACCUGGGGGCUGCGUUUGAUACUUGGUUGCUUGAGUGGGGAAGAGGGUCGUGGAAUUCCCAGUGUAGAGGUGAAAUUCGUAGAUAUUGGGAAGAACACCGGUGGCGAAGGCGGCGACCUGGUCCUUGACUGACGCUGAGGCGCGAAAGCGUGGGGAGCAAACAGGAUUAGAUACCCCCGUAGUCCCUGUCUCUUAUAA
rnacentral:rRNA from 1 species